UGCGCAGGCGGAGCGAUCAGUCAGUGGUGAAAUCCUACGGCUCAACCGUAGAACUGCCAUUGAUACUGUCGUUCUUGAGUAUAGUUGAAGUGGGCGGAAUGUGUCAUGUAGCGGUGAAAUGCAUAGAUAUGACACAGAACACCAAUCGCGAAGGCAGCUCACUAAACUACUACUGACGCUCAGGCACGAAAGCGUGGGUAGCGAACAGGAUUAGAUACCCUGGUAGUCC
rnacentral:rRNA from 1 species